rnacentral:rRNA from 1 species
GAUCCUGGCUCAGGAUGAACGCUGGCGGCGUGCCUAACACAUGCAAGUCGAGCGAGAAACUUAUGACGGAAGCUUCGGCUGAAGUCAUGGGUGGAAAGCGGCGGACGGGUGAGUAACGCGUAGGCAACCUGCCCUUUGCAGAGGGAUAGCCUCGGGAAACCGGGAUUAAAACCUCAUGAUGCCGUGUGAAGACAUCUUCAUAUGGUCAAAGAUUUAUCGGCAAAGGAUGGG